GAUGAAGAACGUAGCGAAAUGCGAUAAGUAAUGUGAAUUGCAGAAUUCAGUGAAUCAUCGAAUCUUUGAACGCACAUUGCGCCCGCCAGUAUUCUGGCGGGCAUGCCUGUUCGAGCGUCAUUUCAACCAUCAAGCCCCAGGCUUGUGUUGGGGACCUGCGGCUGCCGCAGGCCCUGAAAACCAGUGGCGGGCUCGCUGUCACACCGGGCGUAGUAGAUUUUAUCUCGCUCAGGGCGUGCUGCGGGUUCCGGCCGUUAAAAAGCCUUUUUUACCCAAGGUUGACCUCGGAUCAGGUAGGAAGACCCGCUGAACUUAAGCGUAUCAAUAAGCGGAGGA
rnacentral:misc_RNA from 1 species